ACCUGUAUGAACGGCUAAAUGAGGACAAACCUGUCUCUUAUAACCAAUCAGUGAAACUGAUCUUCCAAUACAAAAGUUGGAAUAAAUACAUAAGACGAGAAGACCCCGUGGAGCUUAAAACAAACUACUAAGCGAACAACCCUAGUAUACUGUUUUGAGUUGGGGCGACUUCGGAAUAAAACAAAACUUCCGAGCACAGAACCACCACUUCUAACCAAGGCCAACAAGCCUAAGUCUAACCUGACCCGGCCUCGUGCCGAUCAACGAACCAAGUUACCCCGGGGAUAACAGCGCUAUCUUCUUCAAGAGUCCCUAUCAACAAGAAGGUUUACGACCUCGAUGUUGGAUCAGGACACCCUAAUGGUGCAGCCGCUAUUAAAGGUUCGUUUGUUCAACGAUUAACAGUCCU
rnacentral:rRNA from 1 species